AGGAUAAAAAACAUGCUCAAAAAAUCAAAUGUUAAACUUAUUCUUCAACAUGUGUCCAAAUUACCCCACAAAAGGUGUUCAUAUUACCCCACAAGGCAUGUCCAAAUUACCCCAUAGGGGUGUUCAUAUUACCCCCACACAAAAAUGUGGGGGUAAUUUGGACACCUUUUAAUUUUUGCGAUAAAAAUGGGUUUUUCAUCAAAAUUUAUCGAAAUGAAUGACAUUUUUCCAUCAAAUAUGGUCUCUAUUAUCCUCUGGUGUCAUCCACAUUCCUUUAAAAUAUCCAUACAGCCCGUAACAGAGCAAUUUCCUUAGGGUGUCCAAAUUACCCCACACUCCCCUAAUUAUAAACAAUAGACGAAUCCAGUUUGAAAUGGCCGCUAGGUGGCCAAUGGUGUUAGAAAUGACAGCUUCCAUGUAUUUGAAUAUGGGAGCUCAGGAAAACUCAAUUUUUAAGCAAUAAAAGGAUUAUUUAUGAUAAAAAUAUUGAUGGAUUAGGUGCACAAAAUGUGUCUAGAAUAUUAUUAAAAUAAAAACCGUUCGAAAAAUUUGCAAUCGAGAUAAGUACACCACUCGAUUCAGCAGGAAUUUUGGGCACCAAAAAUAUAUAGUUUUCAUAUGUUAAGUAAUAUAUUUUAAAAGAAAAUUAACAAUAAGUAUGAAAAUCGAGACAUUUAGUAUGGGAGCUGUCAAAUCUCUCACCAUCAAAAAGCAGCGUUGAGCUUUCGCUGGAUUUGUCUAU